rnacentral:rRNA from 1 species
AGAGUUUGAUCAUGGCUCAGGAUGAACGCUAGCUACAGGCUUAACACAUGCAAGUCGAGGGGAAACGACAUCGGAAGCUUGCUUUUGAUGGGCGUCGACCGGCGCACGGGUGAGUAACGCGUAUCCAACCUGCCCACCACUUGGGGAUAACCUUGCGAAAGUAAGACUAAUACCCAAUGACGUCUCUAGAAGACAUCUGAAAGAGAUUAAAGAUUUAUCGGUGAUGGAUGGGGAUGCGUCUGAUUAGCUUGGUUGGCGGGGUAACGGCCCACCAAGGCGACGAUCAGUAGGGGUUCUGAGAGGAAGUCCCCCANAUUGGAACUGAGACACGGUCCAAACUCCUACGGGAGGCA